UAAGCUGUGGCUCAAUAUUAGAGUGAAUAUCUCAAAAUAUGAGGUCCUGAGUUCAAACCUCAGUACCAUAA
rnacentral:tRNA from 1 species